CCCCUCUCAGGCUCACACCUGGUGAGUUUCCCUACUCUACCAGUCUUGACUACGGGAGGGAGAGUCAAGCAGAAGCCUACCCAUUCCAUUCCUAGUUUGGGAAGUGGCUAGCGAGUGGAAGGCAAUCUGCUACAUGU